rnacentral:rRNA from 2 species
AAAAAAGCGUAACAAGGUUUCCGUAGGUGAACCUGCGGAAGGAUCAUUG